rnacentral:rRNA from 1 species
GAUGAACGCUAGCGGCAGGCCUAAUACAUGCAAGGCGAAGGGGCAGCGAUGUCACUGUCGUACGGGUGCGUAACGCGUAUGCAACCUACCUAUCACAGGGGGAUAGCCUUUGGAAACAGGGAUUAAUACCGCAUAAAGCAGGGGCUCCGCAUGGGGAUAUUGCGAAAGAUUUAUCGGUGAUAGAUGGGCAUGCGUCUGAUUAGUUAGUUGGUAGGGUAACGGCCUACCAAGACGAGGAUCAGUAGGGGGCGUCAGAGCGUGGUCCCCCACACUGGCACUGAGAUACGGGCCAGACUCCUACGGGAGGCAGCAGUAGGGAAUAUUGGGCAAUGGAUGCAAGUCUGACCCAGCCAUGCCGCGUGCAGGAAGAAGGUCCUCUGGAUUGUAAACUGCUUUUAUCGGGGAAGAAUAGGUUUCUUGCGAGGGACAGUGACGGUACCCGAUGAAUAAGCCACGGCUAACUACGUGCCAGCCGCCGCUGUAAAAC